rnacentral:rRNA from 1 species
GAUGAACGCGGCUACAGGCUUAACACAUGCAAGUCGUGGGGAAACGGCAUUAUGUGCUUGCACAUUCUGGACGUCGACCGGCGCACGGGUGAGUAUCGCGUAUCCAACCUGCCCCUUACUUGGGGAUACCCCGUUGAAAGACGGCCUAAUACCCGAUGUGUUUCAUGACGGCAUCCGAUAUGAAACAAAGGUUUUUCCGGUAAGGGAUGGGGAUGCGUCUGAUUAGCUAGUUGGCGGGGCAACGGCCCACCAAGGCGACGAUCAGUAGGGGUUCUGAGAGGAAGGUCCCCCACAUUGGAACUGAGACACGGUCCAAACUCCUACGGGAGGCAGCAGUGAGGAAUAUUGGUCAAUGGACGCAAGUCUGAACCAGCCAAGUAGCGUGCAGGAUGACGGCCCUAUGGGUUGUAAACUGCUUUUAUGUGGGAAUAAAGUGGCGCACGUGUGCGCCAUUGCAUACCUCAUGAAUAAGACCG